rnacentral:rRNA from 1 species
AUGAACGCUAGCGGCAGGCCUAACACAUGCAAGUCGAGGGGCAUCGGGAUUGAAGCUUGCUUCAAUUGCCGGCGACCGGCGCACGGGUGCGUAACGCGUAUGUAACCUACCUAUAACAGGGGCAUAACACUGAGAAAUUGGUACUAAUUCCCCAUAAUAUUCGGAGAGGCAUCUCUCCGGGUUGAAAACUCCGGUGGUUAUAGAUGGACAUGCGUUGUAUUAGCUAGUUGGUGAGGUAACGGCUCACCAAGGCAACGAUACAUAGGGGGACUGAGAGGUUAACCCCCCACACUGGUACUGAGACACGGACCAGACUCCUACGGGAGGCAGCAGUGAGGAAUAUUGGUCAAUGGACGCAAGUCUGAACCAGCCAUGCCGCGUGCAGGAAGACGGCUCUAUGAGUUGUAAACUGCUUUUGUACGAGGGUAAACUCACCUACGUGUAGGUGACUGAAAGUAUCGUACGAAUAAGGAUCGGCUAACUCCGUGCCAGCAGCCGCGGUAAUACGGAGGAUUCAAGCGUUAUCCGGAUUUAUUGGGUUUAAAGGGUGCGUAGGCGGUUUGAUAAGUUAGAGGUGAAAUCCCGGGGCUUAACUCCGGAACUGCCUCUAAUACUGUUAGACUAGAGAGUAGUUGCGGUAGGCGGAAUGUAUGGUGUAGCGGUGAAAUGCUUAGAGAUCAUACAGAACACCGAUUGCGAAGGCAGCUUACCAAACUAUAUCUGACGUUGAGGCACGAAAGCGUGGGGAGCAAACAGGAUUAGAUACCCUGGUAGUCCACGCAGUAAACGAUGAUAACUCGUUGUCGGCGAUACACAGUCGGUGACUAAGCGAAAGCGAUAAGUUAUCCACCUGGGGAGUACGUUCGCAAGAAUGAAACUCAAAGGAAUUGACGGGGGCCCGCACAAGCGGUGGAGCAUGUGGUUUAAUUCGAAGCAACGCGAAGAACCUUACCAGGUCUUGACAUCGAUCUAAAGGCUCCAGAGAUGGAGAGAUAGCUAUAGAGAAGACAGGUGGUGCAUGGUUGUCGUCAGCUCGUGUCGUGAGAUGUUGGGUUAAGUCCCGCAACGAGCGCAACCCCUGUUGCCAGUUGCCAGCAUUAAGUUGGGGACUCUGGCGAGACUGCCGGUGACAAGCCGGAGGCAGGCGGGGAUGACGUCAAAUCAGCACGGCCCUUACAUCCGGGGCGACACACGUGUUACAAUGGCGUGGACAAAGGGAAGCCACCUGGCGACAGGGAGCGAAUCCCCAAACCACGUCUCAGUUCGGAUCGGAGUCUGCAACCCGACUCCGUGAAGCUGGAUUCGCUAGUAAUCGCGCAUCAGCCAUGGCGCGGUGAAUACGUUCCCGGGCCUUGUACACACCGCCCGUCAAGCCAUGGAAGCUGGGGGUGCCUGAAGUUCGUGACCGCAAGGAGCGACCUAGGGCAAAACCGGUAACUGGGGCU